rnacentral:rRNA from 1 species
CAUGAAGCUGGAUUCGCUAGUAAUCGCGCAUCAGCCACGGCGCGGUGAAUACGUUCCCGGGCCUUGUACACACCGCCCGUCAAGCCAUGGAAGCCGGGGGUGCCUGAAGUGCGCUGCCGCAAGGAGCGCCCUAGGGUAAAACCGGUGACUGGGGCUAAGUCGUAACAAGGUAAC